AAAUGAACUAGUUUAGAUUGGUGCCACUUUGAUUUUUUCCUUCAAAAGUGUCUUUUUUGAAACCCAUACAUGUACAUUGUGCAAUUUUUAAAAGAUGAGUGUAUAUGUUUAAAAAUGUGAGUUUUUCUCACUGUAUUGUUGUCCCAGAUAUUUAAAGUGCUGAUUUGGUCCUUAGAAUUUGACAUUUAUGCAAUGAUAAGAAAGUACAAGUUUCAAGAGUAUGUGUUUUAAAGAUUAUGACAAACUAUAUAUAAGAAGGUUGUGUAUUAAAUUUGUUUUUGAUAUACAAAUGCAGCACUUGACUAAACUGAAAUGAAUAUCACACCCAAAAAGAAAUGUUUAUAAACAUUGGGAAAAAUAAACUUCAGGAAAUUGAUGAUUUUAUGGGCCAAAAAUUGAUAUAGUUUCCUUUCAUUGCUAUAGAUCUCUUUCAAGUUGUUUUGUGGCAGUAUGGUGUAGGUUUACUUUGAGCAGGUGUUUUGGUGUUCAUAUGAUGUUUAUUACAUAAUCACCAUCAUAUGCAAGUUGUACUGGUAUACUGAGUAUGAAAUUGAUACCUGGUACCUGUGUACUGGGAAACGGGGUCAAAAUCUCAUAAGAAGGUAGUGUAGGUUUUCUUGUAUUAUUUGCACACUAUUAUUACUGGUAGAUACAUAUUAGGGGUUUUUUUUCAAGUAGCAUUCUAAUAAACAUUUUAAUUAUGGUAUGAACAUAUUAUUUGAUGAUAUAAAUUUUUCGUUUUGUUGAUGUGUAAUAUGUAAAACUAUUGAUAUUUAGUUGCUAGAAAAAGACAGUGUGUAAUUAUUUGGCUUAAGAUGCUUAUUAAGCAUCGGGGGAAUCACUGCCUUUGUAGAAAAAUGCUUUCUUUACAGAAUUUUGAAUCCAUUCUGCACCACCUGUAGUGCAAUGCAUACUUUGCUUCAUUUUGAUAUUUAUUUUUAGAAAGUUUUAUUUUCUUAUAUUUUAUUUGAAGAUGAUAGUUAAAUGUGAUGAUUUUGGUUGUGAAUUUGAGAACUUCAUUUAUAUUUGAAUUUCCAGGAAAAAAAUUUGUUGCUCUGUUAGUGAAAUCUAUCUUGUUAUUAUAUAUAUAUAUGAACAUAGAUUCUUAUUUAAAAGGGUGUACAUUUUUCUAAUUUCCUUAAUAUAUAUGAUUUACAUUACAUUUCCAUGUACCAUAUCAAUUUUAUACUUUAGUGGCAUGUUGAGAUAAUAUUUACUCCUCUAAUUUAAUUAAAAUUACUCUAACAAAAUUAAACAAGUGCAAUUACUGAAUUACUUACAAAAGUUAGUUCAUCUCUAACAGCAUGUGUUCUGUAAGUACUUGUAGAAAAGGGAUUGGAGGACGGAUUUAUUGACAGUUUGACCAUUUUAAAGUCUAGCAGCAAAUGACUACAUUUCUCACAUGUUCUAUUGUUUGUUUAAAGUUCCUUCUCUUCUUCACCAUUCCAUUUCUUGUGAUCAUUUUGUUAUAUCUUCUUUUUUUCUUGUUUGUUAAAAUUCAGCUCAAGAAAAAACAUUUUCAUUAUUGUUUGUUCCUCUAUGUAUACACAAAAAACUUUAUAAAAGGAUUUGUAUGAAAUGUUGUUUUUUUUAUCAAAAGGAAAAAAAGAUUUAUCUGAUUUUGUGGAACUAUGGUUGUUAUAUUGAUCAGGGGAAACAAGUGUUGAUUUAUCCUUGCAGUGUGUCAUUUAGGUUGUUGGAGGAAUCCCGAGGUUGUAGGAAUGAAACAUAAUUAUUUAUGCUUUGAUCAAUUUUUAAAUCUGUAUACUUUGUUAAUGCUUAAUUUUGCAAUAAAUUGCUUAUA
rnacentral:sRNA from 1 species